rnacentral:misc_RNA from 1 species
GAUGAAGAACGCAGCGAAAUGCGAUAAGUAAUGUGAAUUGCAGAAUUCCGUGAAUCAUCGAAUCUUUGAACGCACAUUGCGCCCCUUGGUAUUCCGAGGGGCAUGCCUGUUCGAGCGUCAUUAUAACCCCUCAAGCUCAGCUUGGUGUUGGGGCCUGCUGCACUGGCAGCCCUUAAAAUCAGUGGCGGCGCCAUCUGGCUCUAAGCGUAGUAAUUCUUCUCGCUAUGGAGUCCUGGUGGAUGCUUGCCAUCAACCCCCAAUUUUUCUAUGGUUGACCUCGGAUCAGGUAGGGAUACCCGCUGAACUUAAGCAUAUCAAUAAGCGGAGGA